ACAAAGGAGAAUGGGCAAUUUGUCCCAUGGAUGUAUACUGUUGAGACAUAUCUCGUUUGAAAGGGUUUACUCUUAGCAUUAUUUUAUUGUAUGACACCAACUUUGGAUAACGUGCAGGGACUGAGCAAUUUAAAAAAAAGAGUGGCGAAUAUAAACUGUUGUUUUACAAAGUACUUGUUAUGUAGCCGGUUGUUAGGUGUUUUGUAUGAAAGAAUAUGAGAAAUUCUAGAUUUCUGUUUACCACUACUUACGUUUAAGUACGUACAGGGCUGGAAUUAGUUGAUAUAACAUAUGCUUGAAUUAAAAAUACUGCUAUUAAACACUGAAACUUGCUUGUAUACUCAAGCCAUAUAUCUCAUUUAAAAGACAUUUUUAUAAGGUAUUUUAAUAUAUAUAUACUUGCACUCAAAUGCUUGCAGGGGCGGUAAUAAAACGAGUUUUUUCGUUAAUUAAUUGUGGUAAAUGCCGCUUUGUUUGUUCUACCUGGCACUAGAUGGAGCCUUGGUAGCAGUUUGGGUAAUUUUUACUAUUGGUAUAUACAAUUGAGUCAUAUCCUAUUUGGAAGGUCUUCAAUUAAGCAUUAAUUACUUAUAUGACACCAAAGACCGAAAGUGUCCAGGGAAGAUGAUAUUAAUAAUUUUGAUCAUGCGCUGCGGCGUAAACUGGAACUAAAAAAUGUCAUUCAUAUAGAGUUACUUUUGUAACCAUUUACAUCACUUUGCAUGCCUGAAAUAUAAUGAAAAAGUAAUUUAUAUAUAUUUUUAAAUUAUUACCGCUCAAUAAAUGGCACUAAACUACUUAAUUAUGAUUUUUCAAAUCCUCUCUAGUACUGACAUCUUGCGUGCAAUAGGAGAACCGAAUGAGCGGCAAAUGCUGGAUCCGUAUAGUCGCUUAUUAACGCUAAAAAUGUCACCGAAGAAUAAGUUUGUUUAAUUCGGAACUUUGACAAUAAAACGAGUGGUUACCUUGAACUAGUAAGUUUCGUCUAUUUAUCUCUCUUGCUCUUACAUUUUCGAGUGAUAAAGGUAGAAAAAGCAUUACAUUUUUUAAAGUUCGCGUUAUGUCCCGCUAAAAACGUUAUAUAAACUUAUUAUUAAACAUGAAAUAAGAUUCCUAAGCAAUAAGUAGGUAAGUAAAUGUAUUUAUGGAGUAGUUGGAGUACCAUAAUUAGCAGCAAGAAAAUAAAUCUAAGUUUAUAUGUUACGAUAAAAUAAAUCGUAAAAAGGUACUAUGUACAUACUUGUUUUGUUUCUCUGCAGGAAAAUUGUGUAAAAGUGAAACAUUUGAGAUUGCGUCGCGGUUCAAAGCAACGUUCCUUUCGUUUGCCAUAUGAAGCAGGAUUAAAUUGUGUAGUUUUAAGUUCUCAUGUCGCACAAAUAUUAGCAGGAUGAGUCGACAAGUUAAUUUAAAGCAAGCAUUGGUGAAUAGGUGCAUCCAGAUCCAGAUAAGAGAAUGCAUGGUUAUUGCGCCAAUCUCGGACCAUUUGCGAUUGGUUUGCUAAGGGCACCGCUAGCUGGUGGGGAUGCACAGAGCACUUAUACAUACCUUAUUAAAUAAAAACUUUUGAAUACA